GCCCAGAUAGCUCAGUAGGUAGAGCAGCGGACUGAAAAUCCGCGUGUCCGUGGUUCGAAUCCGCGUCUGGGCACCA
rnacentral:tRNA from 11 species